UACGUAGGGGGCUAGCGUUGCUCGGAAUCACUGGGCGUAAAGCGCACGUAGGCGGAUUGUUAAGUCAGGGGUGAAAUCCUGGAGCUCAACUCCAGAACUGCCUUUGAUACUGGCGAUCUCGAGUCCGGGAGAGGUGAGUGGAACUGCGAGUGUAGAGGUGAAAUUCGUAGAUAUUCGCAAGAACACCAGUGGCGAAGGCGGCUCACUGGCCCGAUACUGACGCUGAGGCACGAAAGCGUGGGGAGCAAACAGG
rnacentral:rRNA from 1 species